rnacentral:rRNA from 1 species
CACGUAGGGCGCAAGCGUUGUUCGGAAUUACUGGGCGUAAAGGGCUCGUAGGCGGCCAACUAAGUCCGACGUGAAAUCCCCAGGCUUAACCUGGGAACUGCGUCGGAUACUGGAUGGCUUGAAUUCGGGAGAGGGAUGCAGAAUUCCAGGUGUAGCGGUGAAAUGCGUAGAUAUCUGGAGGAAUACCGGUGGCGAAGGCGGCAUCCUGGACCGACAUUGACGCUGAGGAGCGAAAGCUAGGGGAGCAAACGGG